GGGCAGAGUCUCAGCUGAGGUGCAUUAGCUCUUCAAGUGCUUGCAGAGGUCUACCUUGUUAAUGACUCUUGGAUGUGUGCUCAAGUGCUUUGCUGAAUUGGAGCCUUCAUCCCACAUCACAAAUGGAGUGGAACCUGAAAUUCCAAAUUGUUUUGGCAGCAGCUGGGCUGGUCUAAGCAGUAUUUGAACAAUAUGGCAUUUCUCUGCUGAGAAGAUGCUACUUCCAGAAUUUUCCUUGCCAACUGGAAAAAUGCUCUUCUAAAGAAUGACCAUCUCACAGGUUCCACUGUCCAUAUGGAGUCAGACAUGAGGAGGACCUCUGCUGAAUAUUACUGCUUGCAGAGCUAGGAGAUCAUUGAAGGAAUCCAGCCUCAGGUCUUCUCAGGUAGAGGGUUUUACAUGCCUUUGUAUAUUAAGCUAGUCUCAGGCAGAACUGACAAUAUGGUGUUUUAGCACUAUUCUAGAAAUAAAUGGAUCUGUGAUGGGAAUUCUUUUAUUAUAUUUCCAGUUUUCUUGUAAGUGAAUUUUUACAAUACACAGUUCUUAUUACUUUAA